CGAAUCUUCCGCAAUGCACGAAAGUGUGACGGAGCAAUGCCGCGUGUGGGAUGAAGCGGUUACGCCGUGUAAACCACUGUCAGGAUCUAGGAAGAACUGACCGGAUCCAGAGGAAGGGCCGGCUAAUCUCGUGCCAGCAGCCGCGGUAAUACGAGAGGCCCGAGCGUUAGGCGGAAUCACUGGGCUUAAAGGGUGCGUAGGCGGACCAGUAGGCGUUUUGUGAAAUCCCUCGGCUCAACCGGGGAACUGCAGGGCGAACCACUGGUCUUGAGGUAGGUAGAGGUGGUCGGAACGUUAGGUGGAGCGGUGAAAUGCGUAGAUAUCUAACGGAACGCCGAAGGGGUAGCCAGGCCACUGGACCUUACCUGACGCUGAGGCACGAAAGCGUGGGGAUCAAA
rnacentral:rRNA from 1 species